UUCGGAGACGCAACGCCUCUCCACGCGUCUCUGGCCAGUUCCACUGGGAGUGUGGCUGUGAUGACUCAGGAUGCAAUGCCUUCUGGGUCUUCCAACACGACUCCCCAUCGCUGCACCACUGCGGGUACGUCGACUGUCCCUUUGGUGCCACUUGUACGGAGUCUGGGAGCGUGGCUUGCACUGCCCAACCCGUCACGCUGGCUCAUCCGGACGGUCCGACUCGGCUACGCGAUUCAGUUCGCCCGGCAACCCCCCAAGUUCAAUGGCGUGCUCGAGACUUCGGUGGCAGUCCGGGACGCCUCUGUCUUGCGUGAGGAGAUUGCUGUCCUGCUGGCGAAGGUUGCAAUCAAGCCGGUCCCUCCAGCUGAGAUGAGGACGGGGUUUUACAGCCCUUACUUCAUCGUGCCCAAGAAAAGCGGUGGCCUUCGACCUAUCCUGGACCUGCGAGUCUUGAAUCGGGCCCUACACAAGCUCCCGUUCAGGAUGUUGAUGCAGAAACGCAUUAUCAAAUGCAUCCAGCCCCAGGAUUGGUUUGCAGCGAUCGACCUGAAAGACGUGUACUUUCAUGUCUCGAUCCUCCCUCGUCACAGACCGUUUCUGCGGUUUGCCUUCGAGGGUCAGGCAUGGCAGUACAAGGUCCUCCCCUUCGGGCUCUCCUUGUCCCCCCGUGUCUUCACGAAGGUCACGGAAGCACCCUUGCCCCACUCUGGGAAGUGGGCAUCAGGAUCCUCAACUAUCUUGAUGACUGGCUCAUUAUGGCCCGGUCCCGAGACGAAUUGUGCGAUCACAGGGACUUCGUGCUCCGGCACCUCAGUCAGUUGGGGCUUCAGGUCAACCGGGAGAAGAGCAAGCUCUCCCCUGUGUAGAGAAUCUCGGGUUGCUUCUAAUGAGGCCACUUCAGCACUGGUUGCACUCCCGAGUCCCGAGAUGGGCAUGUCGCCGCGGUACACAUCGUGUCACCAUCACACCGAUGUGUCGCCGCCUAUUCAGCCCCUGGUCGGACCUUGCCUUUCUAUGGGCCGGCGUGCCGUUAGAACUAGCAUCCCGGCACGUUGUUGUCACAACAGAUGCCUCCAACUCGGGCUGGGGCGUGACAUGCAACGGGCAGGCAGCUUCAGGGUCCUGGACAGGACCUCGACUGCUUUGGCACAUCAACUGUCUGGAGUUGCUGCCAGUGCAUCUAGCUUUGCGACGGUUUCGUCCGCUGUUGCUGGACAAGCACGUCGUGGACAACACUGUGGCUGUUUCGUACAUCAACCGACAGGGCGGUCUACGAUCACGUCGCAUGUCUCAAUUCGCCCGCCAUCUCCUCCUCUGGAGUCAGACGUGGCUCAAGUCGCUGCGCGCUGUCCACAUCCCGGGGGAGCUCAAUCGUGCAGCCGACGCGCUCUCAAGACAGCUCACUUUCCCCGGGGAAUGGCGACUCCAUCCCCAGAUGGUCCAGCUGAUCUGGAGCCGAUUCGGGGAAGCCCAGGUAGACCUGUUUGCUUCCCACGAGUCCUCCCACUGCCAGCUGUACUAUUCCCUGUCCCAGGCCCCCCUGGGCACAGAUGAACUGGCACACAGCUGGCCUCGGGCUUCACGCAAGUACGCGUUUCCCCCAGUGAGCCUGCUCGCACAGACACUGUGCAAGGUCAGGGAGGACGAGAAACAGGUCCUGUUGGUUGCGCCUUACUGGCCCACCCGGUCCUGGUUUUCGGAACUCAUGCUCCUCGUGACAGCCCCUCCC
rnacentral:lncRNA from 1 species